rnacentral:tRNA from 1 species
GGUCACAGGUUCAAAUCCUGUAGGAUGCUUAAAGAAAAUGCAUAAUGAAUGAAUCGAUAAUAUAUACCAACCAA